AGUGAACGCUGGCGGCAUGCCUUACACAUGCAAGUCGAACGGUAGCACAGAGAGCUUGCUCUCGGGUGACGAGUGGCGGACGGGUGAGUAAGGUCUGGGAAACUGCCUGAUGGAGGGGGAUAACUACUGGAAACGGUAGCUAAUACCGCAUAACGUCGCAAGACCAAAGAGGGGGACCUUCGGGCCUCUUGCCAUCAGAUGUGCCCAGAUGGGAUUAGCUAGUAGGUGGGGUAACGGCUCACCUAGGCGACGAUCCCUAGCUGGUCUGAGAGGAUGACCAGCCACACUGGAACUGAGACACGGUCCAGACUCCUACGGGAGGCAGCAGUGGGGAAUAUUGCACAAUGGGCGCAAGCCUGAUGCAGCCAUGCCGCGUGUAUGAAGAAGGCCUUCGGGUUGUAAAGUACUUUCAGCGGGGAGGAAGGGAGUAAGGUUAAUAACCUUAUUCAUUGACGUUACCCGCAGAAGAAGCACCGGCUAACUCCGUGCCAGCCGCCGCCGUAACAC
rnacentral:rRNA from 1 species